rnacentral:rRNA from 1 species
CCUAGGAAUUUAUUCCUCUAAAGAGCCGUUCGAGACUAGGACGUUGAUAGGUUGGGUGUGGAAGCACGGUGACGUGUGAAGCUGACCAAUACUAAUUGCUCGUGAGGCUUGACUAUACAACACCCAAACAGUUG